rnacentral:pre_miRNA from 1 species
AUCAUACUCCCUCCGUCCCAAAAUUAUUGUCUUAGAUUUGUUUAAAUACGGAUGUAUCAAGUCACGUUUUAGUAUUAGAUACAUCCAUAUUUAGACUAAUCUAAGACAAGAAUUUUGGGACAGAAGGAGUACUAA